UGACGAGCGAGAGCACCAACCAGAGGGUCC
rnacentral:piRNA from 1 species